rnacentral:rRNA from 1 species
UACAUGGGGUGCAAACGUUGCUCGGAAUCAUUGGGCGUAAAGCGCACGUAGGCGGUUCGUUAUGUCGGAUGUGAAAGCCCUUGGCUUAACCGAGGAAGUGCAUCCGAAACUGGCGAGCUAGAGUACGAAAGAGGAUCGCGGAAUUCCCGGUGUAGAGGUGAAAUUCGUAGAUAUCGGGAGCAACACCGGUGGCGAAGGCGGCGAUCUGGGUCGAUACUGACGCUGAGGCGCGAAAGCUAGGGGAGCAAACAGG